rnacentral:rRNA from 1 species
UGCAAGUCGAGCGCGAAAGGGGAGCAAUCCCCGAGUAGAGCGGCGAACGGGUGAGUAACGCGUGGGUGAUCUACCUUCGAGUGGGGAAUAACACCGGGAAACUGGUGCUAAUACAGCAUGACAUCCUCGGGUCGUACCGGGGAUCAAAGCCGGGGACCGAAAGGCCUGGCGCUUGAAGAGGAGCCCGCGUCCGAUUAGCUAGUUGGCGGGGUAAUGGCCCACCAAGGCUUCGAUCGGUAGCCGGCCUGAGAGGGCGGACGGCCACACUGGGACUGAGACACGGCCCAGACUCCUACGGGAGGCAGCAGUGGGGAAUUUUUCGCAAUGGGGGAAACCCUGACGAAGCAACGCCGCGUGGAGGAUGAAGGCCUUCGGGUCGUAAACUCCUGUCGACCGGGACGAAAGUAGUCUGACCCAAUACGUCGGGCUAUCGACUGUACCGGUAGAGGAAGCCACGGCUAACUCUGUGCCAGCAGCCGCGGUAAUACAGAGGUGGCAAGCGUUGUUCGGAAUUACUGGGCGUAAAGGGCGCGUAGGCGGUUCGUUA